CAACAUCUUCACCAACGCCAGCUGCUACGCCAGCAGCCCCAACACCUUCCCCAUCGGCGACACCAACCCCAUCUCCAACUCCUUCCCCAACCCCAUCUCCAGCUCCUUCAACAGCUCCAACACCAUCCCCCACCACUUCCCCAUCUCCUUCUCCAAGAACUUCUUCACCUUCUCCUUCACCAGUCUCUUCCCCUCCUGCUCCUACCCCAUCAGGUGGGUCUACACCAGCCUCCGAGCCUUCAGCUGAAGUAGUCCCUCCUCCCUCUGCCGCCUCC
rnacentral:lncRNA from 1 species